CAAAUUAUAAGAUGUUUUGGC
rnacentral:miRNA from 1 species